rnacentral:rRNA from 1 species
CCCUUAGAUGUUCUGGGCUGCACGCGCGCUACACUGAAGCGUUCAACGAGUAUUCACCUUGCCCGGGAGGGUUGGGUAAUCUUUUGAAAACGCUUCGUGAUGGGGAUAGAUUAUUGUAAUUUUUAAUCUUCAACGAGGAAUUUCUAGUAGGCGUUUGUCAUCAACAAGCACCGAUUACGUCCCUGUCCUUUGUACACACCGCCCGUCGCUACUACCGAUUGGAUCAUUUGGUGAGGCCCGCGGACUGUUGUGCUUUCUUCCUCGUGUUGAUUGCACUUCUUGGGAAGCGGUACGAACCUGAUGAUCUAGAGGAAGUAAAAGUCGUAACA